UACGUAGGGGGCAAGCGUUGUCCGGAUUCAUUGGGCGUAAAGAGCUCGUAGGCGGCUUGGCAAGUCGGGUGUGAAAACUCCAGGCUCAACCUGGAGACGCCACCCGAUACUGCCAUGCUAGAGUCCGGUAGGGGACCACGGAAUUCCUGGUGUGAGCGGCGAAAUGCGCAGAUAUCAGGAGGAACACCGGUGGCGAAGGCGGAUCUCUGGGCCGUAACUGACGCUGAGGAGCGAAAGCAUGGGUAGCGAACAGG
rnacentral:rRNA from 1 species